UCUCCAACCUUGAGGCCACUAAUAUUGAGCCGUUGAAUAUUAAUAUAUAUCUAUACUUGGAAUAUAUAUAUUCAUAUAUGCAUACAUAUAUGAAUAGAUAUGCAAAUUUUCUCUCAAAAAAUGUUCCAAAUGCAUUAAUUUCUAAAUCAGUAAAUGUAACUUGUGGAAGCAGUUGACUUACACGCUGCACUUUUGUCUUGUGUCUUACUCCUAACUGAGAGCAGCUCAAGGACUUACUGACUUUUCACAUAAAACAGCUAUUUAACUUUAAAAUUAUUAUCCCUCAACUUCCAGGUACCUAGAGGAAUCAAGAAAAAUGUUAUCAAAAUUACAAAUUGUAAAGAUGACGUUCAUUGUGAAAAAAAAUCCCAUUAAUUGUUCACCGAACCACUGAAAGCCUGCUGAGUCUUUCUCUCAUAACAUCAAGCAGUUUCACAAAGCUUUAGACAGCUUAAAACUUAUUAAUGUGAACUAGGCCUGGUGCUUCAGACUCUAAUGCCCAAAUAAAAAUUAGUGUUUAAGUAAGAAGUAGGAGCCCAAAUUUCUAUGCAUGGAUCUGAGUGUUAAGAAGUUAUCAGGUCUCAGGGAAAUUUGGGCUCCUAAGACUUGCUUUAAAAGGAAUUUGAAAAGAAAAGCAAUAAACAAAGAAAACAAUUUAAAAAUCCCGACCCUUGGAACACUUCGUGUUUGAAUUUUUGUUCCAAUACUGUGUCCUACACAUACCAUCAGAGUUCUCUCACUUCACCAUGAGGUUUAGUUUUCAUAUUAAAGCUUCUAAGUUUAUUAUUAAAAAAUAAAAUUAUGUAAAUACAUAUCUUCAGAGAAAAGCAGUGCCCGGCAAACCCAGAAACUAGAGACAACUCUAUUACUAGGAUUUGCAAGUGAGACAAGUAAACUCAUCAGGACCUAGAGCUGCCCAUUUGCAGGAAGGUGGGAGAUGUUGCAAAAAACACAACUGAAAAUCAAAACAGCUAGAAAAGGAAGGGAGGUCAGGGAAGUGUCAUGUCAGCUCUCGUGGGCAGCUUGAAUGACAUCUUGGGAAACAUGUAGAAAUACCUUCUGGUGCCAUUUCAGGUUUGCUUCUCAGCAGACCCCCACUGGGGUCUCUUCCCUUGUCCCUGCCUCCUCCUCCUCUUGGGGAGAGAUGCACACCUCCCUGUGAGCACAUUGGGGUGCUCAGCCAGCUGCUGCUCAAAACCCUGGCUCCAAACUGCCAAUCCACGUCUCCAAGUCUGUAUUCCCCAUCACACUCACAGGCGCCAAGGAAACUCCAUCUCACUUAUUUUAUCAGUUGCUGCUCCUCCUGCCCCUCAUUGUCUCAACCAUUACCCCAGCUGCUAAUGAAUUCACCCAUACUCACUCAGAACACUUGCAAGGGGGAAGCAGUCCUUAAGGUCAUAAAAU